UCCGCAGGCGGAUUAGCAAGUAUCUUGUAGAAAUACCAUGGCUCAACCAUGGAACUGCUCGGUAAACUGCUAAUCUUGAACACGGUAGGGGCCAUCGGAACUCUAGGUGGAGCGGUGAAAUGCGUAGAUAUCUAGAGGAACGCCAGAGGCGAAGGCGGAUGGCUGGGCCGUUGUUGACGCUCAGGGACGAAAGCAUGGGUAGCGAACG
rnacentral:rRNA from 1 species